GAUGAACGCUGGCGGCGUGCCUAAUACAUGCAAGUCGAGCGAAUGGAUUAAGAGCUUGCUCUUAUGAAGUUAGCGGCGGACGGGUGAGUAACACGUGGGUAACCUGCCCAUAAGACUGGGAUAACUCCGGGAAACCGGGGCUAAUACCGGAUAACAUUUUGAACCGCAUGGUUCGAAAUUGAAAGGCGGCUUCGGCUGUCACUUAUGGAUGGACCCGGGUCGCAUUAGCUAGUUGGUGAGGUAACGGCUCACCAAGGCAACGAUGCGUAGCCGACCUGAGAGGGUGAUCGGCCACACUGGGACUGAGACACGGCCCGGACGCCUACGGGAGGCAGCAGUAGGGAAGCUUCCGCAAUGGACGAGAGUCUGACGGAGCAACGCCGCGUGAGUGAUGAAGGCUUUCGGGUCGUAAAACUCUGUUGUUAGGGAAGAACAAGUGCUAGUUGAAUAAGCUGGCACCUUGACGGUACCUAACCAGAAAGCCACGGCUAACUACGUGCCAGCCGCCGCAGUAA
rnacentral:rRNA from 1 species